UAUACGAAGGGAGGAGACGCCAGACAGUGCCACAGAAGACGUUAUCACUGAAACAGGAAUAUUUGCCCCGGAUCCAGUGCGCCUCCCAAGAAUUGUCUGCCCCCAGGAUGUGCGCAGGUCCUGCAUGAUAGGCAUGGUGGUGACACUGUUCACCGUGCCCCUCGUGCUGACAGGCUGCUAUCUUGGCAUUCGGAAGCUGUACCAGAGCAGACGGUCAGUUGUUGAUUUUUCUCCACAGCUUUCUUGUAACUCUGCUCAUAGCAUUGGUAGCCUGACUGGUAGUCAUGCUGCACUGGAGCUGUGGCCAGUCCGUGGUUGUCCAAAGAACUCUGCUGAGGGCUCUGCUGCUGCCCAGUGCUUUCAUUGGCCUCUUCAUUGCUGGGCCUUGUCCUGGGGGGCCCGCUGGGGCUGCAGCCAGUGCUGGCUCCCACUGAGGCUGCCAGGCCAAGAGCAGCCCCGGGGGCACAGGGCAGAGGCAGAGCAAGUUCUCAACAGUAUUUGGGCCACACAGCUCAGGACAGGACAGUGCUUAUUUAGUAGCUCAUGUAAAGUUUCAUGGUGACAGUGAUGUUACCAGACAAGCAAAUUUGCUCCUGUUCAGUGUUCAAACAAAUCCAACCUGAUGAAGGUUUGGCUUUGGCCUUGAGGCUUUGCUCUUUGUGUGAGCCCUGUUCUGGAUUGAUUCCCACUGAGUCUUGGAGCCUGUUUUGGGUGAAGACUCAUCCUGGCCCUGACCCUUGGCAGUUCUGGGCUCAAAGGGACCGCCGAGGCCGCACUGCACGUGACUGGGCUUCAGGGCUCCAUCAUCAAAGGCCUUUGAGAAGUUUAAAUUACUGUAUUCUUACUCUUUGGUUUUCUUUCUGGAAUUCGUUCCCUUUUUUUUAAACUUAAUUUUAAAAAAACAAAUUCUUUUCCAGUGCUUUUUCCAGUUAUUUGAUAUAGUGAAUGAUGGCUGGACCAUCGAGGAUCUCGUCUCAACGGUGGUAGCUCUAUUCCCCUUCCUCUCUUUUCUCUCUAUUUCCCUUUUCUGUCCCUUCUAUCGCAUUUGCUGUUGGUACCUAAAUAAAGAUGCAUUUGUUGUGAUUAAA